UUGAGGAGGCGGUGACCAUGGCGGUGGAGGAGGAGGAUGAGGUAGCCAACACUGUUUUUAUAUAUAUAUAUUUUAAUUGGGGUAGCCCCCAAAAUAUUGGGACAUAUAAAAAAGACAACUCUGUUCCGCAGAGUAGCUGUUGACGUUAUAGUUGCGCAGGAACUUUGUUGACUCUAGAGAACCUUGGGCAAAUCGCACAUCCCCACGGCGGCGACUUUGCAUGCGGAUGGCAUCCAUAUCAACUUUCGAUGCCAGUUUCUGCACCUACCAUGGUUACCACGGUAACUGGGAAUCAGGGUUCCAUUCCGUACAGGGACCCUGAGAAACGGCUACCACAUGCAAAGAAGGCA